AACGAACGCUGGCGGCAGGCUUAACACAUGCAAGUCGAACGCCCCGCAAGGGGAGUGGCAGACGGGUGAGUAACGCGUGGGAACAUACCCUUUUCUACGGAAUAGCUCUGGGAAACUGGAAUUAAUACCGUAUACGCCCUACGGGGGACAGAUUUAUCGGGGAAGGAUUGGCCCGCGUUGGAUUAGCUAGUUGGUGGGGUAAUGGCCUACCAAGGCGACGAUCAGUAGCUGGUCUGAGAGGAUGAUCAGCCACACUGGGACUGAGACACGGCCCAGACUCCUACGGGAGGCAGCAGUGGGGAAUAUUGGACAAUGGGCGAAAGCCUGAUCCAGCCAUGCCGCGUGAGUGAUGACGGCCCUAGGGUUGUAAAGCUCUUUCCCAGGUGAAGAUAAUGACGGUAACCUGAGAAGAAGCCCCGGCUAACUUCGUGCCAGCAGCCGCCGUAACAC
rnacentral:rRNA from 1 species